rnacentral:rRNA from 1 species
UACGUAGGGGGCAAGCGUUGUCCGGAAUCAUUGGGCGUAAAGCGCGUGUAGGCGGCUUGGUAAGUCCGCUCUGAAAGCCCGGGGCUCAACCCCGGGAGGCGGGUGGAUACUGUCAAGCUCGAGUCCGGAAGAGGCGAGUGGAAUUCCUGGUGUAGCGGUGAAAUGUGUAGAGAUCGGGAGGAACACCGGUGGCGAAGGCGGGUCUCUGGGCAAUUCCUGACGCUGAGGCGCGAAAGCGUGGGGAGCAAACGGG